rnacentral:lncRNA from 1 species
CAUGCAUGUGCCGUAAGAUUCGAUUUGAGUUUUUGGGUUUUUGGGUGUAUCUAAACAAUGCAAGAUUCGAGUCUUGUUUAGUUCAUCUCAAAAGCCAAAUUUUUUUUCAAGAUUUUCCUUUUUCAUCGAAUCUUGCAGUAUAUGUAUGGAGCAUUAAAUAUAGAUGAAAACAAAAACUAAUCGUACAAUUUACCUGUAAAUCGCGAGACGAAUCUUUGAAUCCUAAUCACUCUAAAAUUGGACAAUGUUUGUCAAAUAAAAAACAAAAAUGCUACAGUAUCAAAAUCCAAAAACGUUUUGGAUCUAAACAAGGUCUAAAUAUAGUUGAAAAUAAAAAAAACUAAUUACACAGUCAGAAAAUGAAUCUUUUAAGAUCUAAGUUAGUCCAUAAUUAGAUAAUAUUUAUCAAAUAAAAAUCAAAAAUCAAAAAAAAAUUGGGCACAAGCAAACAGGCUGAACCCCCGUGGCCGUCGCGUCACGCCUACCCAAGCCCUGGGCCGUGGGCGUGGGGGACGACAGCUGUGCGCUUCAGGGCAGGCUCGUGCCGACGUGUGUCCACUGCACCGGCUCCGACGUGGCCGGGCUCCGGUUCACAUCCUCCGACUACCCCGGACCCCGGUUGCCGGCCGGCUCGGCUUGGCUUUGCCACU